UCACCUCAAACUUGUCACUCUCUAUAGCUUUAAAUUAAUCAUAAAAUGUGCCCAGGCACAGCUCCAUAACUGACAGGGCCCAGGGCAAAGUGAGAAUGUGAGGUCCUUUGUUUGAAAAGCAGGAAAAAAGUAGUGUUAGCAGUACUGAAAUAUAAAAGCUUUUCCUUUUUCCCAAAGUCUCAACUUGUCAGGGUAUUUUUUAUUUGCUAUUGACUGUUGUUCUAAGUAAAGAAAAAUUAAAAUUUUUCAUGAUUAGCAUGAAUUUUUUUCAUUCACCUUUAUCUUGUGCAAUGUGAGUUUUAAGCUCAAAAUAAGAGCUUUUCACUUCAGUGCAGAAUAACCAAAUUACACAAUUUAUCCUUUAUAGAUUGUAUAUGCAUAUGUAUUUUUCUUACCUAUGCUAUGGAAACGCUGCACAAAGUGAACUCAACAGUUUUUUUUUUAAUUUUUAUUUAUUUAUGAUAGUCACACACAGAGAGAGAGAGAGCAGCAGAGAAACAGGCAGAGGGAGAAACAGGCUCCCCUCAGGGAGCCCCAUGUGGGACUUGAUCCCUGAACUCUAGGAUCACGUCCUGAGCAGAAAGCAGAGCUUAACUGCUGAGCCAUCCAGGCAUCCUGCCCUGAUGGAUUUGAUGUAGGAUGUGAGGGAAGGGGAAUGGAUAAAGUUGAUUCCAAAUAUGACGCUGAGAAAUUAAGUAAAUGGAGGUGCCAUUUAUCAAGUAGGAGGAUAACUGGGGAGAGAAGAAUGUAUGGAUUCUACUUAAGAAUUAGAUAUUGCACAUUUCAGGGUGGCUCAGUUGAUUGAGCAUCUGACUCUUGGUUUUGGCUCAUGUCAUGACCUCAUGAGUCAUGAGAUAGAACUGAGUCAGGAUCUGCACUCAGUGGGGAGUCUGCUUGAAAGUUCUUCCCUCUGUCCCUACCCUCACUCUCAUGCUCUCUCUCUAAAAUCAAUCAAUCAAUCAUCAAUCAAUCAAUCUUAAAAAAAGAAUCAGGAUCAAGCAUUUUAGUACUGAGAUACCUAUUAAAUAUUCAAGAGGAAUCUCAAAGAUAUAGUUGGAUAAAUAAGUCUGGACAUCAGGGAAGAGGUUGGGACAGGCAUGACAGCAUUUAGCAGUUGCAGAAAAUUUUAGAAAAAUCUUUCUAAGGCAAACAACAUAUUAACAGAUUAAAAAAAAAAGAAACAUUUGACCAUCUUUAUAAGAUAUAAAGAGAAAAAUUCAUUGAAAUCCAAUACCAAUUCAUGGUUAAAAACUCUUUGCAAAUUAAGAAGAGAAGGGGAUUUCCUUACAUUUAAUGGACAAAAAGUAUGUGCCAAAAUAGCACAGCAAACAUUACUCUCUUUCUUUUUAAAGAUUGUAUUUUUAAGUAAUCUUUACAUCCAAUGUGGAGCUUGAACUUACAACUUCGAUAUCAAGAAUCAUAUGGUCUACUGAAUGAGCCAGCUAGGCGCCUCCAAACAUCAGUUUUAAUUGGGAAAAUUUAGAUGAAUCCUGUUUAAAAUGAGGCAUAAGACAGGAUAUCAAAUUUUAUCACUCUGUUAUCAUUACACAAAAAGUGCCUUGCAGUAGGAUAGAGUAAGAAGAAUAAGAACUGAAAGUAAAUUAAUAAGAGGUUUGGCUGCAUUUAAGCCAGAUAGGAGGUUAUUUUUCUCUCUCAUAAAAGUAAUUUAGAGAUGGGUCAUCCAGGGCUAAUAUGGUGGUUCUGUGAAGUCAUCAACCACCAAGAUAUCCUCUGACUUUGUGU
rnacentral:lncRNA from 1 species